GAUGAACGCUGGCGGCGUGCCUAAUACAUGCAAGUCGAGCGAAUGGAUUAAGAGCUUGCUCUUAUGAAGUUAGCGGCGGACGGGUGAGUAACACGUGGGUAACCUGCCCAUAAGACUGGGAUAACUCCGGGGAACCGGGGCUAAUACCGGAUAACAUUUUGAACCGCAUGGUUCGAAAUUGAAAGGCGGCUUCGGCUGUCACUUAUGGAUGGACCCGCGUCGCAUUAGCUAGUUGGUGAGGUAACGGCUCACCAAGGCAACGAUGCGUAGCCGACCUGAGAGGGUCAUCGGCCACACUGGGACUGAGACACGGCCCAGACUCCUACGGGAGGCAGCAGUAGGGAAUCUUCCGCAAUGGACGAAAGUCUGACGGAGCAACGCCGCAUGAGUGAUGAAGGCUUUCGGGUCGUAAAACUCUGUUGUUAGGGAAGAACGAGUGCUAGUUGAAUAAGCUGGCACCUUGACGGUACCUAACCAGAAAGCCACGGCUAACUACGUGCCAGCCGCCGCAGUAA
rnacentral:rRNA from 1 species